CACGGCCCCCAACUCCUGAGAGGCACCCCAGCAGGCGCGCAGGACCCAAGGAGCGAAGCAGGUGCUGAGUCACAGUCAGCCUGCCUCACUGGCGUCUGAAGCCAGGAAGAGUCCGACCAAGUCCUUAACCGGCGAGAGGGGGUGCUAUCGGAUGGAGUAGGGGCCCCGGUGUUGGCCCCAGCUGGUGUCCACUGGAGGAGGUUCGCUGGUAGAGAGAAACAAACUCAGUGAGGACCCAGGGGUGGCUCGCUCUGUGUGAUGCCCCACCUCCUGAGAAGGAUGCAAAUGCUCAGCUACGGCUCCAGCACCACGCCUGCCCUCUGCCGUGCUCCCCGCCAGGAUGGACUCACCCACGCCUGCCCUCUGCCGUGCUCCCCAUCAGGAUGGACUCACCCACGCCUGCCCCCUGCCGUGCUCCCCGCCAGGAUGGACUCACCCACGCCUGCAUUCUUCCGUGCUCCCAUCAGGAUGGACUCACCCACGCCUGCCCUCUGCUGUGCUCCCCAUCAGGAUGGACUCACCCACGCCUGCCCUCUGCCGUGCUCCUCACCAGGAUGGACUCACCCACGCCUGCCCUCUGCCGUGCUCCUCACCAGGAUGGACUCACCCACGCCUGCCCUCUGCCGUGCUCCCCGCCAGGAUGGACUCACCCACGCCUGCCCUCUGCCGUGCUCCCAUCAGGAUGGACUGACUGUCUAAAACUGUAAUCCCCCAAUUAAAUGCUUUCUUUUAUAAUAA